rnacentral:rRNA from 1 species
UUAAUGUUAUAAUAUUAAAUAAAGCCUGCUCAAUGAUUUAAAUAGCCGCGGAAAAUUUACUGUGCUAAGGUAGCAUAAUCACUUGCCUUUUAAUUAAAGACUAGAAUGAACGGCCUAACAAUUAAAUAAUUUUUUCAAUAAAAUAAAUUUAACUUAUAUUAAGCAUAAAAAUAUGCUUAUCAAUAUAAAAGACGACAAGACCCCGUCGAACUUAACUGAAGUUAAGCUGGGGAAGCUAAUUAAUAAUUACUGUAAAUCCUAUAAUUUAAUCAACACCCUAUAUAAAAUGAAUUAUAAUCAAGUUACCGCGGGGAUAACAGCGUAAUUAAUCUCUAAAGCUCUAAUUUUAAGAAAAGAUUACGACCUCGAUGUUGAAUUAAUUUUCCUCAUUAUCGCAAAAGAUAACCCUGAGUAAGUCUGUUCGACUUUUUAAAAAUUACAU